AUUGAACGCUGGCGGCAGGCCUAACACAUGCAAGUCGAACGAGUGGCGGACGGGUGAGUAAUGUCUGGGAAACUGCCUGAUGGAGGGGGAUAACUACGGGAAACGGUAGCUAAUACCGCAUACCAUCGGAUGUGCCCAGAUGGGAUUAGCUAGUAGGUGGGGUAAAGGUGCACCUAGGCGACGAUCCCUAGCUGGUAUGAGAGGAUGACCAGCCACACUGGAACUGAGACCCCUUCCUGGCUCCUACGUGGGGCAGCAGUUGAGAAUAUUGCCCAAUGGUCGCAAGCCUUAUUCAGCCAUGCCGCGUGUAUGUAGAAGGCCUUCGGGUUGUAAAGUACUUUCAGCGGGGAGGCGUUACCCGCAGAAGAAGCACCGGCUAACUCCGUGCCAGCAGCCGCGGUAAUUC
rnacentral:rRNA from 1 species